GGGACACGUGGUAUCCUGUCUGAAUAUGGGGGGACCAUCCUCCAAGGCUAAAUACUCCUGACUGACCGAUAGUGAACCAGUACCGUGAGGGAAAGGCGAAAAGAACCCCGGCGAGGGGAGUGAAAAAGAACCUGAAACCGUGUACGUACAAGCAGUGGGAGCACCUUCGGGUGUGACUGCGUACCUUUUGUAUAAUGGGUCAGCGACUUAUAUUCUGUAGCAAGGUUAACCGUAUAGGGGAGCCGCAGGGAAACCGAGUCUUAACUGGGCGUUAAGUUGCAGGGUAUAGACCCGAAACCCGGUGAUCUAGCCAUGGGCAGGUUGAAGGUUGGGUAACACUAACUGGAGGACCGAACCGACUAAUGUUGAAAAAUUAGCGGAUGACUUGUGGCUGGGGGUGAAAGGCCAAUCAAACCGGGAGAUAGCUGGUUCUCCCCGAAAGCUAUUUAGGUAGCGCCUCGUGAACUCAUCUUCGGGGGUAGAGCACUGUUUCGGCUAGGGGGUCAUCCCGACUUACCAACCCGAUGCAAACUACGAAUACCGAAGAAUGUUAUCACGGGAGACACACGGCGGGUGCUAACGUCCGUCGUGAAGAGGGAAACAACCCAGACCGCCAGCUAAGGUCCCAAAGUCAUGGUUAAGUGGGAAACGAUGUGGGAAGGCACAGACAGCCAGGAUGUUGGCUUAGAAGCAGCCAUCAUUUAAAGAAAGCGUAAUAGCUCACUGGUCGAGUCGGCCUGCGCGGAAGAUGUAACGGGGCUAAACCAUGCACCGAAGCUGCGGCAGCGACACUAUGUGUUGUUGGGUAGGGGAGCGUUCUGUAAGCCUGCGAAGGUGUGCUGUGAGGCAUGCUGGAGGUAUCAGAAGUGCGAAUGCUGACAUAAGUAACGAUAAAGCGGGUGAAAAGCCCGCUCGCCGGAAGACCAAGGGUUCCUGUCCAACGUUAAUCGGGGCAGGGUGAGUCGACCCCUAAGGCGAGGCCGAAAGGCGUAGUCGAUGGGAAACAGGUUAAUAUUCCUGUACUUGGUGUUACUGCGAAGGGGGGACGGAGAAGGCUAUGUUAGCCGGGCGACGGUUGUCCCGGUUUAAGCAUGUAGGCUGGUU
rnacentral:rRNA from 1 species